rnacentral:lncRNA from 1 species
CGAAAUCCAAUUCUGGUUCUCUUUAUUAAUCGGCAGAGAUUCGAGUGGAACAAACCUCAGCAGGUAUCAACUCUUAUCUCACUGUCAACUGCAUUUCAGAUCUUAACACAUUCCACCUGUUGAACCAGAUUGGUCGACAAACAAUUCAUCAGCUGUGCGACAGGUAGACCUAGCUACUAGCUAAGCAUUUCGAUGUUGCACCAUCAGGGCCAGCUAGAGUUGCUUACCGUUGCAGCUUCAUCUUCUUCGUCCAGAAAACCUAGUGUCCUCGUCAAACAUCACAGCUUCCUUCGUGUCUUUCACAUGAUGAUCUCACAGCUUCCUGCUGAUGCACGUGACAGCAGUCCAUAGCUUAAUAAUAAGAUAAAUAUCCAAAAUAUAUAGCUGAAGCUGGCAGUGCCGCGCUUUCGUGUACAUCACAGUAUCAUAUGACCAGGUUCCUUACCUUCUCACCUGCCAGUAAGCUGAUCCCCUAUGUUGAGGCCGC